ensembl:snRNA U6 U6 spliceosomal RNA
ACUUCUACUGUGCUCACUCCAGCAGCACAGAUACUGGAAGGAAAAAAAAAAAAAGGAACGCUACAGAGAAGAUUAGCAUGGCCCCUGCGCAAGGAUGACACACAAAUUUAUGAAGCGUUCCACAUUUAA